rnacentral:rRNA from 1 species
GGUGAACGCUGACAGAAUGCUUAACACAUGCAAGUCUUUGGCGAAUCUGUGCUUGCACCGGCUAGCCAAGGCGGACGGGUGAGUAACGCGUAAAGAACUUGCCCUGCAGACAGGGAUAACAGACGGAAACGACUGAUAACACCUGAUACAGUUGCCGGCACGCAUGUGCCUGGCAAUGAAAAGAGAUGCUGCAGGAGAGCUUUGCGUCCUAUUAGCUUGUUGGUGAGGUGACGGCUCACCAAGGCGAUGAUAGGUAGCCGGCCUGAGAGGGUGAACGGCCACAAGGGGACUGAGAUACGGCCCUUACUCCUACGGGAGGCAGCAGUGGGGAAUAUUGGACAAUGGGGGCAACCCUGAUCCAGCAAUUCUGUGUGCACGAAGAAGGUUUUCGGAGUGUAAAGUGCUUUCAGCAGGGAAGAAGAAAGUGACGGUACCUGCAGAAGAAGCGACGGCUAAAUACGUG